rnacentral:rRNA from 1 species
AACGCGAAGAACCUUACCUACUCUUGACAUCCACGGAAUUCGGCAGAGAUGGAUUGGUGCCUUCGGGAACUGUGAGACAGGUGCUGCAUGGCUGUCGUCAGCUCGUGUUGUGAAAUGCUGGGUUAAGUCCCGCAACGAGCGCAACCCUUAUCCUUUGUUGCCAGCGGCUCGGCCGGGAACUCAAAGGAGACUGCCGGUGAUAAACCGGAGGAAGGUGGGGAUGACGUCAAGUCAUCAUGGCCCUUACGGCCAGGGCUACACACGUGCUACAAUGGCGCAUACAAAGAGAAGCGACCUCGCGAGAGCAAGCGGACCUCAUAAAGUGCGUCGUAGUCCGGAUUGGAGUCUGCAACUCGACUCCAUGAAGUCGGAAUCGCUAGUAACCGUAAAUCAGAAUGCUACGGUGAAUACGUUCCCGGGCCUUGUACACACCG